ARAACARGUACCGUWCGAAUAGKGCSGUACCUUGACSGUACCUWACCAGAWAGCCACGGCUAACUACGUGCCAGCAGCCGCGGUAAUACGUAGGUGGCAAGCGUUGUMCKGAAUUAUUGGGCGUAAWGGGCUCGCARGCGGUUCSUUAAAGUCUGAUGUGAAAGCCCCSGGCUCAACCGGGGARGGUCAUUSGAAACUGGCGRAACUUGAGUGCAGAAGAGGAGUAGUGGAAAUUYCACGUGUAGCGGUGAAAUGCGUAGAGAUGUGUGAGGAACACCAGUGGCGAAGGCGACUCUCUGGUCUGUAACUGACGCUGAGGAGCGAAAGCGUGGGGAGCGAACAGGAUUAGAUACCCUGGUAGUMCACGCCGUAAACGAUGAGUGCUAAGUGAUUAGGGGGGUUUCCGCCCCUUAGUGCUGCAGCURACGCAUUAAGCACUCCGGCCUGGGGAGUACRGUCGCAAGACUGAUAACUCAAAGGAAUUGACGGGGGCCCGCACAAGGCGGUGGAGCAUGAUGGUUUAAUUCGAAUGCAACGCGAAGAAUCMUUACCAAGKUCUUGACWUCCUCUGACAWUCSUAGAAGAUAGGACGUCCUCCAUUCSGGGGCAKASUGACAUGKUCGRUGCAUUGSUUKUUCGUCAGCAUUCGUUGUUCGUGAGAAUUCGUUGGRAUUUAMGUUCCCGCAAUCGAGCGCARCCMUUGAAUUCUUUASUUGGCYAGCAUUCAGUUGGGCACUCUYAAGKUGACCUGMCGGUGACAAACCGGAGKAMGGUSGGGAUKACGUYMAAUCUAUCAUKCCCCKUAUGACCUUGGCUACACACCUGCUACAAUGGACAGAACAAAGGGCAGCGAAACCGCGAGGUUAAGCCAAUCCCCCAAAUCUGUUUUCAGUUCGGAUCGCAGUUUGCAACUUGACUGCGUGAAGCUGGAAUCGCUAGUAAUCGCGGAUCAGCAUGCCGCGGUGAAUACGUUCCCGGGCCUUGUACACACCGCCCGUCACACCACGAGAGUUUGUAACACCCGAAGUCGGUGAGGUAACCUU
rnacentral:rRNA from 1 species